rnacentral:rRNA from 1 species
AUUGAACGCUGGCGGCAGGCCUAACACAUGCAAGUCGAACGAGUGGCGGACGGGUGAGUAACACGUGGGAACCUACCCAUCAGAGGGGGAUAACACUUGGAAGCAGGUGCUAAUACCGCAUACUGAUGGAUGAACCCGCGGUGCAUUAGCUAGUUGGUGAGGUAACGGCUCACCAAGGCAACGAUGCAGAGACGACCUUAGAGGAUGACCAGCCUGACUGGAACUGAGACACGGGCCAGACUCCUAUGGGAGGCAGCAGUGGGGAAUAUUGCACCAUGGGCGCAAGCCUGAUGCAGCCAUGCCUCGUGUAUGAAGAUGGCCUUCGGGUUGGAAAGUACUUUCAGCGGGGCGGCGUUACCCGCAGAAGAAGCACCGGCUAACUCCGUGCCAGCAGCCGCGGUAAUAC